GCCGUCAUAGCGCAAUGGUAGCGCAUCACCUUCCUACGAUGUAGUUAGGUGGGGGUUGCGGGUUCGACCCCCGUUGAUGGUA
rnacentral:tRNA from 1 species